GCCGUGUGAUAAGCAUAAAGUGAACUAUUCUUUCACCUUUUACUAAAGAAUAUCGUGUGUUUGUUGUCACUGCAACAUGAGUUUCAAAAGUUUUGUCUAGAAUCUAGUUUUG
rfam:Glycine max cultivar Williams 82 chromosome 9, whole genome shotgun sequence.